ensembl:lncRNA
CUUUGUGGAGCUGGGAGGACACAGCUAAAGGAAGAACUUGCGACUUGGGUCACAGAAAAUCCCUUUGAACAAAAGAGAACCUUGUGCAGGACUUGAAAACUACAGAAGAGAACCAGAACAGAAGAGACCAGUGCACCCACAUUUUCCUGCCGUGAGUGAUGAAGAGGAGGAAGAAGAAGGUGAGUGUGUCAAGGAUAAUAACCUGUGAUGCCGAAGUGUGCUGCACUAUUAAUUCGUGACU